rnacentral:rRNA from 1 species
GACGAACGCUGGCGGCGUGCUUAACACAUGCAAGUCGAACGGAAAGGCCCUGCUUUUGUGGGGUGCUCGAGUGGCGAACGGGUGAGUAACACGUGAGUAACCUGCCCUUGACUUUGGGAUAACUUCAGGAAACUGGGGCUAAUACCGGAUAGGAGCUCCUGCUGCAUGGUGGGGGUUGGAAAGUUUCGGCGGUUGGGGAUGGACUCGCGGCUUAUCAGCUUGUUGGUGGGGUAGUGGCUUACCAAGGCUUUGACGGGUAGCCGGACUGAGAGGGUGACCGGACACAUUGGGGCUGAGAUACAGGCCAGACUCCUACGGGAGGCAGCAGUGGGGAAAAUUGCACAAUGGGCGGGAGCCUGAUGCAGCAACGCCGCGUGCGGGAUGACGGCCUUCGGGGUGUAUACAGCUUUCGCCGGUGAGGAAGCGUGAGUGACGGUAAUGGGUAAAGAAGCACCGGCUAACUACGUG